UGUGGCCUUUUUCGUGCGAAGCUAAGGAGAAUGGGAAUGGGAGAUUCUUUGAAUGGAAUAUUCAAAAGAAAUGAAAAAAAUCCCAACUCUGCUAGGAAUCAAAAUUUGUGAACCAUUAAAAGAAGAAUAAGAUGGAGUCUCUGAGAGAUUCAGGCUUUCAGUCCAGCUGAAUAGAAGUGCAGCCCCAACUGAGCAGUUCAGCUCAGCACAGCACAAAGAGCUGGAGCACAAUGGGAAAUCCUCCUUUGUCAGUAGUCCCAGAGCAUCUCUCUCCAAAGCUGUUUUCCUUACUUCCCAGGAAGAAAUAAGCAUGGAAAGAAACUUCACUGAAGAGCAUGGGCUGAAAACAUGAAUUUCCAUAUUUCGUUUUCUUGUAAAGACAUUUGAGGACUUGAAAACUAAAAUUAUGUGUUUUGAACUAAUUUGGUUUUAAUUAAUAAUUCUGCUCUUCAGUCACUUCGGACCAAUUUAUCACUCCUCAAUAUUUAUGUUGUUUAUUCCUUUUUGGAAACAGUAA